UGGGGGCUCGUCUAACGGUAGGACGGCGGUCUCUGGAACCGUAAGUCGGGGUUCGAAUCCCUGGCCCCCAGCUA
rnacentral:tRNA from 1 species